AUUGAACGCUGGCGGCAUGCCUUACACAUGCAAGUCGAGCGCGAAAGGGGGCAACCCCGAGUAGAGCGGCGGACGGGUGAGUAACACAUCGGAACGUGCCCAGUAGUGGGGGACAACCUCGAGAAAUCGAGGCUAAUACCGCAUACGACCCACGGGUGAAAGCGGGGGACCCAAAGGAAACUGAGGGCCUCGCGCUAUUGGAGCGGCCGAUGUCCAAUUAGCUAGUUGGCGGGGUAAGAGCCCCACCAAGGCGACGAUCGGUAGCUGGUCUGAGAGGAUGAUCAGCCACACUGGGACUGAGACACGGCCCAGACUCCUACGGGAGGCAGCAGUGGGGAAUCUUGGACAAUGGGCGCAAGCCUGAUCCAGCCAUGCCGCGUGAGUGAAGAAGGCCUUAGGGUUGUAAAGCUC
rnacentral:rRNA from 1 species